UCAACUCAUAAGUUGACCAUGGCCCACAGU
rnacentral:piRNA from 1 species